UCACCGAAGUCAAGCAUCAUUGGGCGCGGUCAGUACUUGGGUGGAUGACCACCCGCGAACACCGCGUGCCGUU